rnacentral:tRNA from 1 species
GAAAUUUUAGUUUAAUAUAAAAUAUUUCAUUUACAUUGAAGAGAUUUAAAUAAUAUAAAAAUUUUA